GGAUUCUGCUCGGAAUGCAACAGCUGGCUGGCCGGUAAUGCUGAGAAAAUUGUGCGAGGUUCCUGCUUGGCAUAGGGUCGGAUAAUAAGAUCUCACUAGGAAGAAGCAUGAAGUCUAAGGAGCAUGUGGACUGUGGGAGUCUUAUCAGAAAGGGGAAGAAUGCUGCAGAAAUUUGGUGAAGUUUGCAUGACCUGUGGAGGUUGCUAUGGCGUGAGGAGGAUGAAAGGCCUUGGUUUCUUGGAGGAUGAAGAACCCCACGCCAUAUGCAAAGGGGGCCCACAUGUGAGACCCUUCAAGGAAUGGACUUGUGUGACCUCUGAAAGUGGAUGAAAUAAGUCCCCAGAUUUUGGAAUCUCCUUCCUGGCUGAUGGGCAUAUGCUGACUCAGCAGGCAUCAUUGUGAAAACAUCGCUUAGUUCAUGUAGCAGCAGCAGAAGCAACCACAGUGGCUCUGGGAGCCUCCCUUGGUACCCUCUGGCAGAGCAGCUGGAAUGAGACAGGAAGCGCCUUACAACAGAAAGUGAGUUAGGAAGAAAACCUUAACUGAAGCCAUUUUCUAGUAGGUUCAAUAGGAGAUAAAAAACAAAACAAAAAACCCUCCAUGUUUCAUGUAGUGUGGAGGUGGGACUGGACAGGGACUCAAUCAGCCACUGGGAAUGACAGCAAAGCAUCAAGGUGGUUCUCUUACCAAGUGAGCCAGCCCUCUGGGGGGCGUCAUGACUUCCCUCAGCCACUCAAUGUGGAGCAGGCUGGUACCUCAGGGUUACUUUUGUUCUUCCCUUUUCAUAUUAUAAAAUACAAAAAAAUGACAGGAAGGAAGGAAGGAAAGGAAGGAAGGAAGGAAGGAAGGAAGAAAGGACUGCUCAUCCAGAGGGAAUCCUGCCACUUCACAGCUGCACGGACCGCCGUUUCCUCCCCAAGGUGUUGCGAUGGAUGUAGGGCCGCAUCUUCAUUUCCACAAAGGAGACAAAUGAAGCUGAGUUCAUCCAUGGCUGUUUGCCACUCAGUGACAGCGAUGACUUCCAUGUGGAAAUGAACGAUUACAGCUCCAGUGCCAUAGUCAGGAGUUUCUCAUCAUCAUCAGACACUUCAAUCAAGGCAGUUCACACAUUCUGCGGCAAGUCAUCAAGGGUCAUGUUGCUAACUGAUCUACAUGCAUAUAUAGAUGUGACCCCUCAUGCUAGUACCUCCUGU